AUUGAACGCUGGCGGCAGGCCUAACACAUGCAAGUCGAGCGGAUGAAGGGAGCUUGCUCCUGGAUUCAGCGGCGGACGGGUGAGUAAUGCCUAGGAAUCUGCCUGGUAGUGGGGGAUAACGUCCGGAAACGGGCGCUAAUACCGCAUACGUCCUGAGGGAGAAAGUGGGGGAUCUUCGGACCUCACGCUAUCAGAUGAGCCUAGGUCGGAUUAGCUAGUUGGUGGGGUAAAGGCCUACCAAGGCGACGAUCCGUAACUGGUCUGAGAGGAUGAUCAGUCACCCUGGAACUGGGACACGGUCCAGACUCCUACGGGAGGCAGCAGUGGGGAAUAUUGGACAAUGGGGGAAAGCCUGAUCCAGCCAUGCCGCGUGUGUGAAGAAGGUCUUCGGAUUGUAAAGCACUUUAAGUUGGGAGGAAGGGCAGUAAGUUAAUACCUUGCUGUUUUGACGUUACCAACAGAAUAAGCACCGGCUAACUUCGUG
rnacentral:rRNA from 1 species